AACGAACGCUGGCGGCAUGCCUAACACAUGCAAGUCGAACGAGACCUUCGGGUCUAGUGGCGCACGGGUGCGUAACGCGUGGGAACCUGCCCUUAGGUUCGGAAUAACUCCCCGAAAGGGGUGCUAAUACCGGAUAAUGUCUUCGGACCAAAGAUUUAUCGCCUUUGGAUGGGCCCGCGUUGGAUUAGCUAGUUGGUAGGGUAAAAGCCUACCAAGGCGACGAUCCAUAGCUGGUCUGGGAGGAUGAUCAGCCACACUGGGACUGAGACACGGCCCAGACUCCUACGGGAGGCAGCAGUGGGGAAUAUUGGACAAUGGGCGAAAGCCUGAUCCAGCAAUGCCGGGUGAGUGAUGAAGGCCUUAGGGUUGUAAAGCUCUUUUACCCGGGAUGAUAAUGACAGUACCGGGAGAAUAAGCUCCGGCUAACUCCGUG
rnacentral:rRNA from 1 species